rnacentral:rRNA from 1 species
GACGAACGCUGGCGGCGCGCCUAACACAUGCAAGUCGAACGAGCGAGCGAGAGCUUGCUUUCUUGAGCGAGUGGCGAACGGGUGAGUAACGCGUGAGGAACCUGCCUCAAAGAGGGGGACAACAGUUGGAAACAACUGCUAAUACCGCAUAAGCCCACGGUGCCGCAUGGCACAGAGGGAAAAGGAGCAAUCCGCUUUGAGAUGGCCUCGCGUCCGAUUAGCUAGUUGGUGAGGUAACGGCCCACCAAGGCGACGAUCGGUAGCCGGACUGAGAGGUUGAACGGCCACAUUGGGACUGAGACACGGCCCAGACUCCUACGGGAGGCAGCAGUGGGGAAUAUUGCACAAUGGGGGAAACCCUGAUGCAGCGACGCCGCGUGGAGGAAGAAGGUCUUCGGAUUGUAAACUCCUGUUGUUGGGGAAGAUAAUGACGGUACCCAACAAGGAAGUGACGGCUAACUACGUG